CUUCCAGAAAGAUUCCUCCAUACCAUGCUUGCAGAUCUAUAGGAGGGCAAUUAAAGGUAACGUCUGGUCUGCCAGCCUUUACUUCUCCAAUUGAAAUGCAAUGUGGAAGUCAAGGGGGAGGUGGUCUUAAAUGCUUAAGGGUGAUUAAGGGUCUCCUUCCUCACUCCCCUCUUUGAGAAUCUCACCUAUAACAUUAGUGAGAGUUCUCACUCUCAUUCUCAUUUUCAUGUUCAGGUUCCAGUUGGACCCCUCCAAUCACUCACACAAUCACACUCCUCCCCUGCCCAAAUCGAAACCAAAAAACAAGACUUCCAAGGUUAAUCACAGAGAGAGCGAGCCAAGUACAAGAGUGCCAAAUCCAGCACAUGUGUGUGAUCAGGCCAUGCUUCCACCUAAAGGAGGUGGGCAAGUGUCCCAGGAUCAAUCCUACCGUGUUUCUGUUGUCCGGACACUCCAAGUACCAUUCCUUCUUGCUGUUCAGUCACCGGGUGGAUCCACACUGCAGGUGCUUUCCUGCUCUGCUCUGGCGAGGCUUUCCACUGGGCCAAUACCUGCCCAGGAGC